rnacentral:rRNA from 1 species
UGGGGAAUUUUGGACAAUGGGCGAAAGCCUGAUCCAGCAAUGCCGCGUGAGUGAAGAAGGCCUUCGGGUUGUAAAGCUCUUUUGUCAGGGAAGAAACGGUGAGGGCUAAUAUCCCUUGCUAAUGACGGUACCUGAAGAAUAAGCACCGGCUAACUACGUGCCAGCAGCCGCGGUAAUACGUAGGGUGCAAGCGUUAAUCGGAAUUACUGGGCGUAAAGCGUGCGCAGGCGGUUUUGUAAGUCUGAUGUGAAAUCCCCGGGCUCAACCUGGGAAUUGCAUUGGAGACUGCAAGGCUAGAAUCUGGCAGAGGGGGGUAGAAUUCCACGUGUAGCAGUGAAAUGCGUAGAUAUGUGGAGGAACACCGAUGGCGAAGGCAGCCCCCUGGGUCAAGAUUGACGCUCAUGCACGAAAGCGUGGGGAGCAAACA